AUUACUGAGUUUACGCUCUAUAACCCUUUGUGAACAUACCUAUAACUGUUGCUUCGGCGGGUAGGGUCUCCGCGACCCUCCCGGCCUCCCGCCUCCGGGCGGGUCGGCGCCCGCCGGAGGAUAACCAAACUCUGAUUUAACGACGUUUCUUCUGAGUGGUACAAGCAAAUAAUCAAAACUUUUAACAACGGAUCUCUUGGUUCUGGCAUCGAUGAAGAACGCAGCGAAAUGCGAUAAGUAAUGUGAAUUGCAGAAUUCAGUGAAUCAUCGAAUCUUUGAACGCACAUUGCGCCCGCCAGCAUUCUGGCGGGCAUGCCUGUUCGAGCGUCAUUUCAACCCUCAAGCUCUGCUUGGUGUUGGGGCCCUACAGCUGAUGUAGGCCCUCAAAGGUAGUGGCGGACCCUCCCGGAGCCUCCUUUGCGUAGUAACUUUACGUCUCGCACUGGGAUCCGGAGGGACUCUUGCCGUAAAACCCCCCAAUUUUCCAAAGGUUGACCUCGGAUCAGGUAGGAAUACCCGCUGAACUUAAGCAUAUCAAU
rnacentral:rRNA from 1 species